CCUACGGGCGGCUGCAGUGGGGAAUAUUGGACAAGGGGGGCAACCCUGAUCCAGCCAUGCCGCGGGUGUGAAGAAGGCCCUCGGGUUGUAAAGCACUUUCAGUGAGGAAGAACGCCUGGUGGUUAAUACCCAUCAGGAAAGACAUCACUCACAGAAGAAGCACCGGCUAACUCCGUGCCAGCAGCCGCGGUAAUACGGAGGGUGCGAGCGUUAAUCGGAAUUACUGGGCGUAGAGCGCGCGUAGGUGGCUUGAUAAGCCGGUUGUGAAAGCCCCGGGCUCAACCUGGGAACGGCAUCCGGAACUGUCAAGCUAGAGUGCAGGAGAGGAAGGUAGAAUUCCCGGUGUAGCGGUGAAAUGCGUAGAGAUCGGGAGGAAUACCAGUGGCGAAGGCGGCCUUCUGGACUGACACUGACACUGAGGUGCGAAAGCGUGGGUAGCAAACAGGAUUAGAUACCCGAGUAGUC
rnacentral:rRNA from 1 species